AUACUUACCUUGUUGAAACGUUUUGCAGAUCAAGCAUUGCAACGUUGCGAUACGAGUCCUCCAUUGCACAUCGGGGCGACGAGAAUCGUCCAGUUUCCUUCGGGGACCUGGUCGGCGGAAUUUUUGAUUGCUUCCUUCGGGAUAUA
rnacentral:snRNA from 19 species